UACUGUUGAGUCACAGUCUCUCAGAGACACAGAGCAUCCCACGAACAAUGAGACAAACUGUUGGGUCACUGAACCAACCACUGAACAAUUUGAGAGCAUCAGGCUUGUGCUUUCAACUUACGAACCUCGAAAGCAACUGAUGCUUCAUCCAAACUUACGAGCUCCUAUCUUUACUAUUACUCGACAGAGGUAACUAGGAAGCUAGAAGAACUACAAGCUGCUCAACCAUACCAUAAGCAAAAGGCAAACUCCAUCAAAGUAUCAAACAAAACCCAACCACUCCCUCCAUUUUCCUUCCAGCCCCUCACAGUGUGGGGGAGCCUGGGAAUCUAUUCCUAGACCUCUGAAAAGCAGGGCGGAGAAGCAACCUCUUUUGGCCCAAAAAGUCGUAGGCACAGCCGAUUGAUUGAUGGAUAGAUAGGUGCAUAUCAAACAACUAAAGUGCCAAC
rnacentral:lncRNA from 1 species